rnacentral:lncRNA from 1 species
AACAUAUAAUAAAAUGAAAACAACGGGAAGGGGUGUGCAUGCAACAAGGGUAUGUUAUGGAUAAGUAAAAGGAAAAUGGGCUAGGCCCACCCAACAAACCAAAAGAAAGACCAAUAAAAAAAACAAAUAAAAAUACAAUAGAAUAAAAGAAAGAAAAUUUUACUUCAUACCCCUAUGUUUAGCCUCAUACCCCAACAAUUUUUUAAAAAUACAAAUUUUACCCUUAACUGGUUUUAACCAAUUUAC